GGGAAUAUUGCACAAUGGGCGAAAGCCUGAUGCAGCAACGCCGCGUGAGUGAUGAAGUAUUUCGGUAUGUAAAGCUCUAUCAGCAGGGAAGAUAAUGACGGUACUUGAGGAGGAAGCCCCGGCUAACUACGUGCCAGCAGCCGCGGUAAUACGUAGGGGGCUAGCGUUAUCCGGAAUUACUGGGCGUAAAGGGUGCGUAGACGGUUAUGCAAGUCUGGAGUGAAAGCCCGGGGCUCAACCCCGGGACUGCUUUGGAAACUGUAAAACUGGAGUGCAGGAGAGGCAGGCGGAAUUCCUAGUGUAGCGGUGAAAUGCGUAGAUAUUAGGAGGAACACCAGUGGCGAAGGCGGCCUGCUGGACUGUAACUGACGUUGAGGCUCGAAGGCGUGGGGAGC
rnacentral:rRNA from 1 species